rnacentral:rRNA from 1 species
GAUGAACGCUGGCGGCGUGCUUAAUACAUGCAAGUCGAGCGAAGCACUUUAACGGAAUUCUUCGGAAGGAAGGUAAAGUGACUGAGCGGCGGACGGGUGAGUAACGCGUGAGCAACCUGCCUUUCAGAGGGGGACAACAGUUGGAAACGACUGCUAAUACCGCAUAAUGUGUUUUGGGGGCAUCCCCGGAACACCAAAGAUUUAUCGCUGAAAGAUGGGCUCGCGUCUGAUUAGCUAGUUGGUGGGGUAACGGCCUACCAAGGCGACGAUCAGUAGCCGGACUGAGAGGUUGGCCGGCCACAUUGGGACUGAGACACGGCCCAG